rnacentral:rRNA from 1 species
CGGGUGUUCAAAUAGUGGCGCACGGGUGCGUAACACGUGGGAAUGUACCUCUUGGUAAGGAAUAAUGUCUGGAAACGGACACUAAUGCCUUAUAAUGACUCCGGUCCAAAGAUUUAUCGCCAAGAGAUCAGCCCGCGCUUGAUUAGUUUGUUGGUGAGGUAAUGGCUCACCAAGACUACGAUCAAUAGGGGGUCUGAGAGGAUGAUCCCCCACACUGGGACUGAGACACGGCCCAGACUCC